CCUGCCCAAAAUCCUCUUUGUGACACUUGGGGUGGGGACAGUUCCCAUUUUCCCUCCCCAAAUCCCCAUUUUCCCACCCCAAAUCCCCAUUUUCCCCUCGGGAAGGUGCUCAGCACCCUCGCGACUCAUCCUGCACCCUCGGGACUCAUCCUGCACCCUCGGGAUGGUGCUCAGCACCCUCGGCACUCAUCCUGCACCCUCGGGACUCAUCCUGCACCCUCGGGAUGGUGCUCAGCACCCUCGGGACUCAUCCUGCACCCUCGGGACUCACCCUACACCCUCGGGACUCACCCUACACCCUCAGGAUGGUGCUGAGCACCCUCGGAACUCAUCCUUCACCCUCGGGACUCAUCAUUCACCCUCGCGACUCAUCCUGCACCCUCGGGACGGUGCUCAGCACCCUCGGGACGGUGCUCAGCACCUUAGGGAUGGUGCUCAGCACCCUCUGGACUUAUCCUGCACCAUUGGGAUGGUGCUGAGCACCCUCGGGACAGUGCUCAGCACCCUCGGGAUGGUGCUCCUCACCGUUGGGACUCAUCCUGCACCCUCGAAACGGUGCUCAGCACCUUCGGCACUCAUCCUGCACCUUCGGGACUCAUUCUGUGACAGUGACAGUGCCACCCCCUGUCCCCAGGUGACGUUUGACAACCUCGCCCACAGCGGGCGAGUGAGGAUCUGCCUGGACACCCUCGUGGCCAUCUGGGAGUGCCACCACCCCUCGCUGCCUGGCACAGGUGACAGCGGGUGACAAUGGGUGACAAUGGGUGACAGUGGGCUGUGUGGGUGUCCCCUGGGAGUGCCACCACCCUGCCAUGCCUGGCAGAGGUGACACCAUGGUGGCACCUGGCCCCAAAGGUGACCCUGGAUGUCCCCAGGCCUUGGGAAGUGACCCCAGGUGUCCCGGAGGGUGACCCCAGGUGUCCCCAAAGGUGACCCCUAGUGUCCCCAAGGGUGACCCCAGAUGUCCCCAAAGGUGACCCCUAGUGUCCCCGAGGGUGUCCCCAGGCGUCCCUGAGGGUGACCCCGGGUAUCCCUGAGGAUGUCCCCAGGUGUCCCCAAAGGUGUCCCCAGGUAUCCCCAAAGGUGUCCCCAGGUGUCCCUGAGGAUGUCUCCAGGUGUCCCCAAAGGUGACCCCGGGUGUCCCAAAGGUGUCCCCGAGGGUGUCCCCGGGUGUCCCUGAGGGUGACCCCGGCUGUCCCCGAGGUGACCCCGGCUGUCCCCGUCCCCACAGGUGGACGCCUGGCGUUUGACGUGUUGGUGACAGC
rnacentral:lncRNA from 1 species